GGGAUAGCUGAAUGUAUUUGUCCAAGGAGCAGGCAAGAUGUUGAAAUGGAAGAAAGUUGCAUCUACCCAAAGGCUGAGAAUCAGUGCCCUUUCCUUAGAAGGCUCCAGGCUUCACUGAGCCUGCUUCAGUCUUCCAGUGGGCUUGUAGAGAAGCGGCUUGGUCAGAACCAGGCCUCCCUACUCUGGUGCCCCAGGCAUACAUGAUGGUGCUUCCCUAGCAGGACAGCAUGUCAGAACAGCUCAGGGUGCAGUCAUGGACAACAGCACAUGCCUAGGAUGCCUACCUACUGAGCAUUUAUUUGGCUGGAGGAAGAUUUUGAAAUAAAGGAAAUGUGUGAAUUUCUUUUCUCCAAAAAUUUCCUGAUCCAUUCUUCCCUUGGCAAACACUUUUAGUCAUUGCAUUUAUUUAUACAUUUAAUGUAUGCAUGAUCAUUAUUAAUUUCUACUUCAUUGGGAACUAUUUGAAGGAAGUGACUUCCUCUGUGUUCUCAUAUCUAACAUACUGCAAUGAUUCUGUGGUAAGUGAUGU
rnacentral:lncRNA from 1 species